rnacentral:misc_RNA from 1 species
UCUCCGUUGGUGAACCAGCGGAGGGAUCAUUACCGAGUUUACAACUCCCAAACCCCCUGUGAACUUAUACCAUUUACUGUUGCUUCUGCGGGUCAUGGCCCCGGGGAAGGACAGCGGUCGCCGUCAGGCCUCAGCUGCCCGCCCCCGGAAACAGGCGCCCGCCGGGGAACUCAAACUCUUCUGUAUUUCUUUAUCUAAUAUAUACUGUCUGAGUAAAAACUAAAAUGAAUCAAAACUUUCAACAACGGAUCUCUUGGUUCUG